GAGAGGCAGGCGGUCAGAGGCCUGUUUGGGAUACAUUCAGCUGCGGGUCAGAAGGGCACCUGGGUGAGUGGGUUCUGCGGCACGGAAUAUAUUAUUUCACUGAACGAGACGCCUGGAGGCAAGAUGCUUACGUGACCGGAAAUUCAAAGUCUAAGACUGUCCUAGGGGCUGUGUCCUUCCAGCUCCCUGCCCUGCCUUCCUCAGGAUGUAAGGUUUGUCCCUCUGCCUGCAGACUGAUGGGUCUCAGACAAGGCUGCUGCCGUCUCUGGAAUUUUCUCCCUCGGUAGCUCUAGUUGGGAAAAAUUCAUUAACUCCUCUAAAUGGACAAAAAUUACUCAAGGGGAUGAAUUCUAGUGUCCAUGUCUGUACGAGUUACUCUUCUGUCGCUGUGGUUAAAACGCCGUGACCAAAAGCAACUUAAAGAAGAAAGAGUUCAUUUCACCUUAUGGUUCCAGAGCGGUAGCACUCUUAAUGGUGAGGUGGGUGUGGUAACAGGAGCCAGAACAGGAAGCUGGCUAGUGACAUUUCCAUCCAGAAAAGCACACCGGAAGUAGAGGGAGAGAACAAGAAGUAGGGAAAAGCUCUAACCCUCUCAAAGCCUUCCCCAGUGACGUACUUCCUCCAACAAGGCUCCACCUCCUAAAGGUUCCAUAACUUCCCCCAAACAGCGCCACCCACUGGAGACUCAAAUACCUGAGACAACACUGUAUAUAGAGACAACAUUUACAUAGAACUGAAUUGUGGGCUGUGGCCCAAACCAGGCAACCAAGAAGAAAUAAUGCUGUUAGACCAAAAUUAGUUUGGACAAGGAGUAGUCGCUCCAUCUCUUCUGGUGGAGGAGACUUAGAAGAUGGAUGGAAUCUCCUUUCAUCUGUCGAUGGUCCUACAUGCCUGAGGCCAUAGCGAUGGCCCACCGCAGCGUGCUUAGCACGAGGCCGAAAAGAACGACUGGCUUGGCCACUGCUGAAGAGCAGAGAUUGAGCUACAUGAGUAGAACAGCACUUUCCCUUUGUGGUACGUCGGCUUGUCUGCAUGAACUCCCGCCAACAGCGCUCGGAAGCGGGAAUACACAGGAUUGCUGGGCCCACGCCAAAGCUUUUCUCCACUUCUUCCCUUCAGCUCCUGCAGAUGCGCCAGACCCUUGGAGACUAUGUAUCACACACAGUUUUGAAGCAAGACACAAGGAUUCUUCAUCCCUAAAUCCAGGACGUGGCAAGGAGCUCUUGGGCCUGUGGAUACUGACCAAUUCUGCAUCCAGUAGAAAAUUCAUUUCAGCACUCGAGAAACCAUAUAGAUCAUCUGUUCUUUUGAAGGUCUUUUGAGCCAAUGGUAGCAGCCUAUUGAUUUCCUGGAUAAUAAAUAAUUGAAGUAAAAUCACUGACCCAUCUGCCACUU